rnacentral:rRNA from 1 species
UACGUAGGGGGCAAGCGUUGUUCGGAUUCAUUGGGCGUAAAGGGUGUGUAGGUGGCGCUGUAAGUCGGGUGUGAAAUCUCGGGGCUUAACUCCGAAACUGCAUUCGAUACUGCGGUGCUUGAGGACUGGAGAGGAGACUGGAAUUCAUGGUGUAGCAGUGAAAUGCGUAGAGAUCAUGAGGAAGACCAGUGGCGAAGGCGGGUCUCUGGACAGUUCCUGACACUGAGACACGAAGGCCAGGGGAGCAAACGGG